GACGAACGCUGGCGGCGUGCUUAACACAUGCAAGUCGAACGGAAAGGCCCCCAUCUUGGUGGGGGUGCUCGAGUGGCGAACGGGUGAGUAACACGUGGGUGAUCUGCCCUGUACUUCGGGAUAAGCUUGGGAAACUGGGUCUAAUACCGGAUAGGACCAUGGUUUAGUGUCUCAUGGUGGAAAGAUUAUUGUUUUGGUGCAGGAUGAGCUCGCGGCCUAUCAGCUUGUUGGUGGGGUAAUGGCCUACCAAGGCGUCGACGGGUAGCCGGCCUGAGAGGGUGGACGGCCACAUUGGGACUGAGAUACGGCCCAGACUCCUACGGGAGGCAGCAGUGGGGAAUAUUGCACAAUGGGCGCAAGCCGGAUGCAGCGACGCCGCGUGGGGGAUGACGGCCUUCGGGUGGUAAACUCCUUUCGUUAGGGACGAAGCCGCACUUUUUUGGGGUGUGGUGACGGUACCUUUGUUAAGAAGCACCGGCUAACUACGUG
rnacentral:rRNA from 1 species